GUCAGCGUGGACUUUAGCAAAGCCCCAAAAAUAAUCCUGCUUCAACUAAUCACGCACACCGCUUAUCACGCGCGCCCCCGCGCAGACGCAGGCGCAGCCGCCGCCGGCGUCCCCCGUACACGCACACACAUCCGCCGCCCCCGCCGCACGCAUCCGCCGCCGCUGCGGCCACCGCGCCGAGAAGCCGCCGCCGCCGCCACCCCGUUUUCGAGCCUAUCGCAAUCGAGCAUCGUGCGAGGAACAGAGCCGCCGUCCUCGCGCCAUCACCGGAGGCCACCGCCUCACGCCGUAGCCAUGCGUGGGCAGAAGCGCUUGGAAGCCACCGUGCGAGGGGUUCGCCCGCCGCCUAGCGCCGCCGCCCAAGCUUGCGAUCUCCGCGCAUAACCUUUAGAUCCACGCAUUAGGGUUGUGGCGCGCAUCAGUUGGACUAUGGUGCCAGCUGCAGGUGGAGAAUGCUUAAUUCCUGACUGGCAUGCCCCCACAAAAUUGACAGCCAAACCUUGCAUCUCUACAUUUUGAAAGCCUUGUCAGUUUCUGUAGUUGUCACUUGAGAAUUAUGAAUUUCAUAGUUUGCACAUUAAAUCUAAACUAUGCUUUAGCAAUAGUUUCUCAUCGGAAUCGAUUGAUCAUUCUAUUCUUGACAUCUUUUCUUCAAAUUUCUUAAAAGUUAUUUCUGACCAUCGAACACAAGAUUGUGAUGAUAGCACAUUCCUUAUUAUAUAUGCAUGCUCUGUUUUCUGAAUAUAAUUAGUUGAUGAACUGGCCAUUCUACCACUUGCCUUGAUGACAACAGCUGCUGCUUUAUUUCUGUCUCUACUAAUAUAAAUUAUUUUCUGUUGAAUGUUCAGUUAGCUGUUAUGUACUGAAUUGAUGCUCUGUACUGAGUUUUCGAAUGUUUUGCUAACCUUAUAGUGUUGCAGGCUAGAUAAAUUCUGAAUUAGCAUUGAGCUUACUCUCUCUGGUAUACCUCAUAUAAACCCAAAUUUAAGUAGCCAGUUAAACCUACUCCUUUGCUUGACAUGAUUUGCAUUACAGCUGAAACUUGGUUUUAUGGUAGCUUAAAUUUUUCAUUAGACCCAGGCCAUAGCAAGACAUUGUUCCAGAGUGUUGUUACCUGGCUCAAGCAUAAGGCUUUGGUACCAUUGCACUUCAGGUAGUCUGUCAGGACAAAGGAGUUACAAUCAGAUUCCUAUUGCCAAAGUGAUGUCUACGGAUUAUAUCAUCAAAACUUCAGCAAGAAUUGCUCCCUCUAGUUUAUCCAUUUCAAUUUGAUUUAUGUGCUUAUUUUUUCUAAGGAGAAAACAUGAGUUCAAAAUAUUACCCAAAGACUGUUUAUUCGACCUGUGUGUGCAACCUAGCAUGCAUUUUCUUAGUACACUCAUGGUUGAUCUACGGGCGUAACUUAUACCACUGUUUAUGGAUGUGUGGAUAGAGACACACAAUACUAGUGCAUAUCAUGACCACAUAAUUCAUAUUACUAAACACUUAUGUAUACGUCUAGGCCC